GACGAACGCUGGCGGCGUGCUUAACACAUGCAAGUCGAACGAAAAGAGGGAAAGAGCUUGCUCUUUCCGGAAUUGAGUGGCAAACGGGUGAGUAACACGUAAACAACCUGCCUUCAGGAUGGGGACAACAGACGGAAACGACUGCUAAUACCGAAUAAGUUCCAAGGGCCGCAUGGCCCAUGGAAGAAAAGGUGGCCUCUACCUGUAAGCUAUCGCCUGAAGAGGGGUUUGCGUCUGAUUAGCUGGGUGGAGGGGUAACGGCCCACCAAGGCGACGAUCAGUAGCCGGUCGGAGAGGAUGAACGGCCACACUGGAAUUGAGACACGGUCCAGACUCCUACGGGAGGCAGCAGUGGGGAAUCUUCCGCAAUGGGCGAAAGCCUGACGGAGCAACGCCGCGUGAGUGAUGACGGCCUUCGGGUUGUAAAACUCUGUGAUCCGGGACGAAAAGGCAGAGUGCGAAGAACAAACUGCAUUGACGGUACCGGAAAAGCAAGCCACGGCUAACUACGUG
rnacentral:rRNA from 1 species